rnacentral:lncRNA from 7 species
AGGAGGGGUUCUUCGGCAGGGAGGGAUGGAACAAAAGAGGGACUGACAGAUGGCAGAAGGAUGGCGGUGUGGCAGAGGGACAGAUCGGAAAGCAGAGAACUGUAGGUACAGUUAUGGAAAAGGUUUUCAUACUCAGUGGUGCAGCUCACCAAAAUAGCUUCCACUACUUCCCACUGGCAAAGACCUUCACCAGCAACAGGAGGGUGGGCAGUUCCUCAGGAAGAGCCCCAGCUGCCUCCUGUCUGUGACUACACAGCUGUGGGUGCCUGAAGGUGGCUCUUUCCUGCUGCCUGAUAGUCCCAAAAGGCAAGUGGGACCAUCCACAGGGAGUUGCUCCUCUGCACACUGUACUGGAGCAGCUAAAUCCUUCAGCCUUUGUGGCGUGACCCAAGGAAAACCUCCCUGCAGUUUUCAUACUGUUGGAAAUAUCCAAAUCAUUUUGUCAGCUCAUGUUUUCCAAACCUCUGACCAGUCUUGCAGCCUCUCCUGUGUGCCUUCUCCUGUUUGCUAACUCUUCCUUUUGUCGACGAGUGCAAAACCCAGCAGAAUGCUCCUCUGGCUGACAUCACCUCUGGGACCCUCUGAUCAGGAAGAAGAAAAGGUGAAGGCCUCAGACAACUUCAGUCAUCUGGAAGAAGCCUUCUGUUUGCAAGCCCUGAUGCUCAUGGUAGACUUUAACCACUGAAAUAUCUGCUGGAGUGUCACAGGUGAUCUAGAAGGUGCCUGAAGUGCAGAUGAUAACUUCCUAAGAUCAAGUAGCUAGUGAGGGAAAAUUCCCUUAUAGAUCUGAUUCCUAUCAACAAGAAAGAACUGGUUGAGAAUGUGAGAGCUGAGUGCAUCCUUGGCUGCAGUGACUAUGAGAUAGUGGAGUUCAGCAUCCUAAAAGUAGCAGGAUCACUAACCUGGACUCAGGAAAUAUGACUUUGCCAUCUUAAGGAAUCUGCUUGGAAGAAUCCUGUGGGAUGCAGUCCUGGAGUGGAAAGCGAUCCAGGAAAAGGAUCCAGAGACUAAUUUUCAAGGAUCAGCUCCUCCAAGCUCAAGAGCAGUAUGCCCUGUCAAGCAGAGAAUCAUGCAAAGACAACACGGUACUUGAACAAAGCACUCCUGGCAAGCCCAUUCUGAUUUCCCCAUGAAUUCUGAAAUUCUGAUUUCCCCACGAAGACUAGAGAAAUAGGCAUACUAGAGAGAGUCCAGCAAAGUGUCACAAGGAUGAUUAAGUGUUCAGAGCAUCUAUUAUAUAAGCCAAGGCUGAGAGAGAUGGAACUGUGUAGUCUGGAGAGGAAAAAUCCCAGGACAAUCUUACUAAUGUGUAUAAAUACCUGAUAGGGAAAAAAUAAAGAUGAUGGAAC